CUCACCGACCCUCCCGCUUGCUCCCUCUUUUCGAAUUAGCUCUCUCCCGAAGCCCUCUACGCUUGCUUGAAAGCAGCAAAAAUUUACAAUGACGGUUCUGGAGGAUCCGCUAGAAGGAUAAAGGGGAUUGUCUCUCUUUCCUCGAACACUCGCGUCUCUUCCUAAUCCUCCUCAGCCCUUCGAUCUCGACGAUCCUCACUCCAUCCACAAUUUCCUCAAAUCCGUGCCUGUGCAAAAUCCUGGUAAGCUUAUAGAGCAGGCAAAAACUAUUUCAGAUAAUACUACAUCUGUUCCAAACGCAAAAAUGACCAGUGAAGUAGCGUUGGAGCACAAAAAUGAUGUUGUUGCUGAAAAAGCUGUGGAAUUUCCCCGGGGACAAAGGCCUGGGUUAGGUCGUAAGCGUCCUCAAUUUUCUUUGCUUCCUAAUAUAAGUCAACCUACCGUGAAUUUGGAGCCAACUUUGGACUUUGAUACACUGAAAGGUCCAGAGGAAUUCUUCUUGGCUUACGAAAGGCUUGAAAAUGCUAAAAAAGAAAUAGCCAAGCAGACUGGCCAUGUGUUUACAGAUUCUGAUCAGUACAAUGUGUUCAUGGUUCCACGGUCUCAACGACUAGGAAUUCCGGGGAGAUCUAGCAUGGCAAAAUACAAACAUCUCUAUCCAACCAUGCUCUCCCAAGAAACCUCUGAGGAAGACAUUCUGUCUAGUUGUGGUCCACAACAAGAACAUGCAUGUCCAAAUGUUGCAUCCCAUCAAACAGAACCAGCAAAUGCAGCAUCACAACAACUGGAACCAACAAAUGAUGCAUCACAACAAACAGAAUCAGCAAGUGUUGCAUCAGAAGAAAUGGAACUAGAUGAUUCAGAAGUCGAGGCUGAGAACAGCGUUAAUAAAUUUCUGGAUGAAUUCCUUUUGCAUCAUUAUGAAGAGUUAGAAGGGGAUGGGGCAAUCAAUCUAUUACAAGACCGCUUGCAGAUCAAACCUCUUCACAUAGAAAAAUUAAGCCUUCCUGAGCUGCCAGAUAUUCAAAGGAUUAAUUUCAAGGCAUCUGGAGUAAACUUGCCAAAGCAUAGGAAUGUAUUAUCAGACAUACACAACUUGUUGAAUGGAGCAAAGAAUAUUACUCCAAUGAAGCUGCAGAAUGCAGAAAGUUCUGUUCCUAGUUUUGGUUCACCUACUCCACCAAAAAAUCCACUGGCUUCGUUAUCAUUAUUGAGGAAAGUUAUAUUUCAGCCAAAUCUAUCAAGCGAUCCAUUUUCAACUGUUGAUAUUGGCCAACCAUCAGCAAGAAAUGCUUCUCCUGUUGAAGACAUUAAUAAAGAUUCUGAUCCAAUUGAUGUGGAAAAGACUUUGUGCAUUUCUUUUGAGUUGAACUCUCUAACAACUGAAGAAGAUGAUGGCACAAUUGUUGAUAGGAGUUCAACUAUGGCAGUUGGAGAUUUCACUUGUUCAUUUGAGAAAUGUUUGAAUGAACGUUCUCUUAGACUUGCGUCUGGCAAUGGGGUUGGCCUUAGGGAAUCUGGUUUAGAGUUGGAGGAUAAUAAUGUCUGUAUGGAUUAUGAUGUCAUAAAUGAGAAUUUAAGUCAAGCUGAUGCUGUUGUAAAUCGUCAAGCAAAUGGACCCGAUGAACUAGAGGACAUCGUGAGUUUUCUUUUAUAUUUGCAUCAUUUUUGAAGUUUUUAUCUUGAAUGUUAUCCUGUGAGGUUCUGCAACAAUAUAGGUGGAAGAUGUGAUGCAGGAAGCUGUGGCUUCUGUGCCUUCUGAUCAAAAAACAGAUGACUGUCCUGUGGAAAUGUCAAACAGCAUUCAGAAUAAGCAUGGCCAAUCAAAUCUUGCUGUGGGCAAAAAACAUGCAUUAGAUGGAUGUGCUGACAUUCAAGAUGGUGCUCCAGAACAAAUCCAAGAGACUAUUUCAGAACAGCAAAAUGAGAAAUUUCAAGAACCUUCUGCAGUAUCAAUACAGAAGCAAAGAAAAACAAAAGUACAUCCACACAAAGGACGAUAUAAUACAGCACAGUCCAGAAGGCAAGGUCUUGCAGAAUACCUUCUGCCCUGGGAAUUUAGUUAUUGUCAAUUUGUCAUUGACGUGAUUUUGUGCCAUAUUUCAUUUCUUUUUCUGCAAUGAUUGAAGACCAAGCAAUGGAUGGGUGCGAUAAAUGUCAGGACAGCACUUCAGAUCAAAUCCAUGACACUACUCAAGAACAAACCCAAGCCACUUCUCCAGAACGCCACAAUGAGGUCCAUAUUUAUUCUCAGUCAUUCUAUUUGUUUGGUGCUCAGGUCUGUCUUUUUAAGAGUUUUGGUUACAUUUUGAGUUGUUGAAAUGUGCUGAACUUAGGAAUCAUGAAUUCAUACUUGCAGGAUGAGGUCUUUAAUUAUUCAACUAUAUUUUUACCCUGUCAAGUAAAUAGUGUUCCUUUUGUUCUUUUGUUAAACAUUGGACCUUCUAUUUUAAUUAGAUUUCUCAUUUUAAUGGGAUGUCUUGACUAAAAAUCCAAAGCACGCCUUUCAAAUGAAAAGUUAAGUGGUAACUAGAGAUAAUAAUCUAUUAGGUUGAACUUACUCAUUGAGUAAUUUUCCCUGUGUAACCUGUGCUGUUAGCUAUUGGCAAGCAUUUAUAGUCAGUGGUUGAAGUCUUUACUAUAUGAUCCGCUAGCUGAAGACAUGAUCUGAACUGAGUGCAGCUUAAUGUUUAGAUAAGUUUUGAAUGUCUUGGUCAAUCUUAUUCUGUCUGGCUUUCCAGAUAACUGGAAUGAAAUCAUUGCAGAGGUUUGAAACCCCUGCUGUGACUAUAAUAGAUGUAUGACAUCUGUUGUCAACUGAUUGAGAUGUUUUCUUUUAUAUUCAAGCAACUCUAAAGCAUGUAAACAAAAAAUAAUUAUGAUCAGUACAAGAAACUUAGGCUUAGGAAUUGUGAACUGUUAUUGUAAGCUUCUAUAAUUCUAUUUCAUUUGGAAGUAUUUGGUUCUGUGUAAAAUUUGUUGCUAUUCUUGGGCAACAGCAGAUUCAGGAAUCCUCUGUGAUAUCAAUGAAUGAGAGAAUCAAAGCAAAACCAAAUCCCAGAAAAGAACGCAAGAGUAAAGUUCUCUCUGGGAGGCAAAGCCUUGCAGGUUGUGGGAUGUCAUGGGAAACUGGAGUAAGAAGAAGCACCAGGAUCAGGUCAAGACCUUUGGAGUAUUGGAAAGGCGAAAGAUUUUUAUAUGGGCGCAUUCAUACGAGUUUGGCAACUAUAAUUGGGAUAAAAUACGAGUCUCCACAAAAAGAUAAUGGAAAACCCACUAUGAAGGUGAAAUCUUUUGUCUCUGAUGAUUACAAGGAUUUGGUUGAACAAGCUGCUCUGUAUUGAGAUGAGUAAUAUUGUUGUGAUUAUGGACUGAGUGGACUACGUGAAUGUGCAACAACCGAUUGUCCUUUCCAUGAAGUUGUAGCUACAUUUCCCAGCAGUAAUUUGCAUGCUCAGCUAUCUGAAUCUGUUGUAACUCCCUCACUCGACUGGAUGUUCAUGAUGUGGGUGUUCGAAGAUCGUUUCUUUCACACAUCUUGUGCGUUUGGUGUACUAACAAAAUGUUUCGUUUCAUAGACCCAUCCUAAAGCAGCAAAGUUGAACAAGAUUUGUGACAUCUAAUCUGAUAAUAUGUAAAGUUGGUACUCUAUCCGGGUGUGUUUCUACUUUUGCAUGUGAAAUAAUUGUGAGUAAAAUAUAUUUGCUAUUGUUAUUUUGGUCAUUAUUAUUGUUUGAAAUUUCUCCGCGAACUACAAUUAUUACCACCUCCACAAUGGUUCCUUGUAUUAUAAAAGUUCCGGUAUUGCAAUCAUAUAUUAAAACAUUGAAUCCUUG
rnacentral:misc_RNA from 1 species